AUUGAACGCUGGCGGCAUGCCUUACACAUGCAAGUCGAGCGGCAGCGCUGGGGCAACCCUGGCGGCGAGCGGCGAACGGGUGAGUAAUACAUCGGAACGUGUCCUGUCGUGGGGGAUAACCAGUCGAAAGACUGGCUAAUACCGCAUGAGAUCGAAAGAUGAAAGCGGGGGACCGCAAGGCCUCGCGCGGUUGGAGCGGCCGAUGUCGGAUUAGCUAGUUGGCGGGGUAAAGGCCCACCAAGGCGACGAUCCGUAGCUGGUUUGAGAGAACGACCAGCCACACUGGGACUGAGACACGGCCCAGACUCCUACGGGAGGCAGCAGUGGGAAUUUUGGACAAUGGGGGCAACCCUAAUCCAGCCAUGCCGCGUGUGUGAAGAAGGCCUUCGGGUUGUAAAGCACUUUCGGACGGAACGAAAUCGCGCGGGCGAAUAUCCCGCGUGGAUGACGGUACCGUAAGAAGAAGCACCGGCUAACUACGUGCCAGCAGCCGCCGUAACAC
rnacentral:rRNA from 1 species